CUACCCUUGACAUGUCCGAGAGCCUGCUGAGAGGCGGGUGUGCCCGAAAGGGAAUCGGAACACAGGUGCUGCAUGGCUGUCGUCAGCUCGUGUCGUGAGAUGUUGGGUUAAGUCCCGCAACGAGCGCAACCCUUGUCCCUAGUUGCUACGCAAGGGCACUCUAGGGAGACUGCCGGUGACAAACCGGAGGAAGGUGGGGAUGACGUCAAGUCCUCAUGGCCCUUAUGGGUAGGGCUUCACACGUCAUACAAUGGCCGGUACAGAGGGUUGCCAAAGCGCGAGCUGGAGCCAAUCCCCGUAAAAGCCGGUCGUAGUCCGGAUUGCAGUCUGCAACUCGACUGCAUGAAGUCGGAAUCGCUAGUAAUCGCGGAUCAGCAUGUCGCGGUGAAUACGUUCCCGGGUCUUGUACACACCGCCCGUCACACCAUGGGAGUGGGUUCUACCAGAAGUAGGUAGGCUAACCGCAAGGAGGCCGCUUACCACGGUAGGAUUCAUGACUGGGGUG
rnacentral:rRNA from 1 species